rnacentral:rRNA from 1 species
CCUACGGGGGACAGCAGUGAGGAAUAUUGGUCAAUGGACGAGAGUCUGAACCAGCCAAGUAGCGUGAAGGAUGACUGCCCUAUGGGUUGUAAACUUCUUUUAUAUGGGAAUAACAUGUUCCACGUGUGGGAUUUUGUAUGUACCAUAUGAAUAAGGAUCGGCUAACUCCGUGCCAGCAGCCGCGGUAAUACGGAGGAUCCGAGCGUUAUCCGGAUUUAUUGGGUUUAAAGGGAGCGUAGGUGGAUUGUUAAGUCAGGUGUGAAAGUUUGCGGCUCAACCGUAGAAUUGCAGUUGAAACUGGCAGGCUUGAGUACAGUAGAGGUAGGCGGAAUUCGUGGUGUAGCGGUGAAAUGCUUAGAUAUCACGAAGAACUCCGAUUGCGAAGGCAGCUCACUGGAGUGCAACUGACACUGAGGCUCGAAAGUGUGGGUAUCAAACAGGAUUAGAUACCCUUGUAGUC